GUGCUCUCGCGAUAUCUGGCUCCUGGGGGUUUCUCCAUUGGUGCUGCUGCCGUGACGACGUGCUAGGAAGGCUGUGAGGAGCCUCGCUGGCCCCAGGAAGAGGUUUGGGGAGGAUAUUCCUAGCAGCUGCCUAAAGCAUUGGUUUCGGGGGUCCUUCCUGCUUCUCCUCUGCUCAGCACUGGCUGCCCAUAUGUGCUUUUCCUUGGUGGAAUGAGAAGACACCUCUGGACAAGCUGACGAGCUCCCAGACCCAGUUGGCAAGGUCAUCAGUGAUCUCUCUGACGCUCUCUCACCCCUACUGUGUUCUUGGUACAGGAAGGACAGUGAGCACACUUUAUGGAACAGAUGGAGAUGAGGGAGUCUGGAUCCCACUGCUCCCUCCUUCCACUCUCCAGUCUUUAGCUAUUGGCUAAAGUCAACCAGAGACAAGGAAACCAUGUAAGUCUAUGCAGGUCAGCCUCCUGGGGGAUGGAGCAUGUAGAGAAGGGCAGAAAGCAGAUCCGGAGAACCAAAUGAAAGAGACCCAUCACCCUGAGCCUAGGUCACUGGCCUAGACACCAGCUGUAAGUCUAGGAAGGUGAGGGCCGAGUGUGUGAGACCUGCCUCCUACAUUCAUG
ensembl:lncRNA